UUGACCUGUUGACGAGCUAUAUGAUCUUGUCUGGUUGGCAAAAUGCAGUUUCGACUUCUCAAUUGGGACAGACGUAGUUGGUGGGGUGAAGAUUUGCAACAGAUAACGGAUUUCAGAGAUGAGAGCUUGAUCAAGAAGACUCUUUCGGGAAGAUUGUUCCAUGGCACGAUUGGUCAAGGAUUUGAACAGCGAUCAGUAAUUGUCAAGACAUGGGAUUUUCACCUUCCUUUCAAAAUAGGACAAUAUCAACUUACAUAUGAUUUUUGUGUAUGUUUGAUUACUAGAUAGAUAUGCCUGAAUUUGAUUUCUUUUCUUUUCGUGCUGAAUCAUGUCGAGGAUUCUUUUGUAGGACCAGAUUGAGUUCUUCACGAACAAAAAUGCAAAUACGCAUCCAAAAUUGGCCAAGUUGUGUACAUUCUGUUGCGACACAAGGCUUGCAGCUGUCUAUGACGAAAAGUUUGAUGAGAAUAUUACCAGAUUGUUGUCUGAUGUGAUUCUGGAAGAUGACUUUGGGUGGGACGACAGGAUGAAAGUGGCAAUUCAACUUGCACAACUCUUAAUAUGGCUGCAUGAAAAGGGUAUUAUAAUCGGCACUGUUACUGCAUCAUGAAUUAUGAUUGAAGAUAAGGAAAUGAAUAUAAAAGCAUUUGAUUUUGGUUCUGUCUCUGAUCAUAUGCAUAAGGGUGUUAAAGUUCCUGGCAAGUGUCAUAGUGGCUGGGAAGCUCCAGAUCAAGG